GCAGUCUCCUGUUGCCCAGGCUGGAGUGCAAUGGCGCGAUCUCUGCUCACCGUAACUUCUGCCUCCCGGGUUCAAGCAAGUCUCCUGCCUCAGCUUCCUGAGUAGCUGGGAUUACAGGCAUGCACCAUCACGCCUGGCUAAUUUUUGUAUUUUUAGUAGAGACGGGGUUUCACCAAGCUGGCCAAGCUGGUCUCGAACUCCCGACCUCAGGCAAUCCGCCCACCUCAGCCUCCCAAAGUGCUGGGAUUACAGGCGUGAGCCACCUUGCCCGGACUCUCUUUGUAUUUUUUCUUUCUUUUUUUUGAGACAGAGUCUUGCUCUGUCUCCCAGGCUGGAGUGCAGCGACAUGAUCUCAGCUCACUGCAGCCUCUAUCUCCCAGGUUCCGGCAGUUCUCCUACCGGUUAGCUGGGAUUACAGGCAUGCGCCACCACACCCGGCUAAUUUUUGUAUUUUUAGUAGAGACGGGGUUUCACCAUGUUGGUCAGGCUGGUCUCCAACUCCUGACCUCAAAUGAUCUGCACACCUCGGCCUCCUAAAGUGCUGGAAUUACCGGUGUGAGCCACCGCGCCUGGCCAGAUCCUUAUUUUUUCAAUUGCAAUACAGCAGUAUGCAAGGCACUUACUGUAUGCCAAAGCUUAUGCCGAGAGCUGGCUGCCAGCAGCUCCUCCUGCCUCGAGGCCUUUGUCCAUGUCAUCAUUUCCCCUUUGGCUGUAACAGCUGCAGUUCUCUCAUAAUUUUAGGUUUCAUCUUAAAUGUCACUUCUUCAGAGGCUUCUUGACAGCACAAGUCAGGGCCCUUGUUAGUUUCAUCACAUCCAUUACCUUUCCUUGAUCACUUGUACCAUCAUCUGUAAUUUAUUUUUAUGUUUAAUACGGGUGUGGGAUUUCUGAUUUUUUUUUUUGCUAGACUGGAAGCUCUCAGAGGGCAGGAACCAUUUGUUUCCCUGCCACAGAGAUGUUCAAUAAAUAUUGUCAAUUGAAUGUGCAAAUAAUCUCACUUAACCACAGCUAUGAGGGAUGCUAUUUUAUCCCCAUUUUAGAGAUGACUAAACUGAGGCUUAGAACAAUUAACCCAAGGUCACAGUGAAUUAGUGGAUCCAUGUGUCUGCCUCCACACAGCCUGUGUGUUCUUAAUUAUUGAUCACUAAGCAACAGCUGCCUCUCACAAACUGGCAGGAAACUUCAACUUUUCCCUUUUAUCAAUAUAUUGUGAACGCCUUUUCUUGCUAAUAAAUAUACAUUUGUGUGCGU
rnacentral:lncRNA from 1 species